rnacentral:rRNA from 1 species
GACGAACGCUGGCGGCGUGCCUAAUACAUGCAAGUCGAGCGAAUCUGAGGGAGCUUGCUCCCAAAGAUUAGCGGCGGACGGGUGAGUAACACGUGGGUAACCUGCCUGUAAGAUUGGGAUAACUCCGGGAAACCGGAGCUAAUACCGGAUAACAAUUUGAACCGCAUGGUUCAAAUUUGAAAGACGGCUUUUGCUGUCACUUACAGAUGGACCCGCGGCGCAUUAGCUAGUUGGUGAGGUAACGGCUCACCAAGGCAACGAUGCGUAGCCGACCUGAGAGGGUGAUCGGCCACACUGGGACUGAGACACGGCCCAGACUCCUACGGGAGGCAGCAGUAGGGAAUCUUCCGCAAUGGACGAAAGUCUGACGGAGCAACGCCGCGUGAACGAUGAAGGCCUUCGGGUCGUAAAGUUCUGUUGUUAGGGAAGAACAA